GACGAACGCUGGCGGCGUGCCUAAUACAUGCAAGUCGAACGAACUCUGGUAUUGAUUGGUGCUUGCAUCAUGAUUUACAUUUGAGUGAGUGGCGAACUGGUGAGUAACACGUGGGAAACCUGCCCAGAAGCGGGGGAUAACACCUGGAAACAGAUGCUAAUACCGCAUAACAACUUGGACCGCAUGGUCCGAGUUUGAAAGAUGGCUUCGGCUAUCACUUUUGGAUGGUCCCGCGGCGUAUUAGCUAGAUGGUGGGGUAACGGCUCACCAUGGCAAUGAUACGUAGCCGACCUGAGAGGGUAAUCGGCCACAUUGGGACUGAGACACGGCCCAAACUCCUACGGGAGGCAGCAGUAGGGAAUCUUCCACAAUGGACGAAAGUCUGAUGGAGCAACGCCGCGUGAGUGAAGAAGGGUUUCGGCUCGUAAAACUCUGUUGUUAAAGAAGAACAUAUCUGAGAGUAACUGUUCAGGUAUUGACGGUAUUUAACCAGAAAGCCACGGCUAACUACGUGCCAGCAGCCGCGGUAAUACGUAGGUGGCAAGCGUUGUCCGGAUUUAUUGGGCGUAAAGCGAGCGCAGGCGGUUUUUUAAGUCUGAUGUGAAAGCCUUCGGCUCAACCGAAGAAGUGCAUCGGAAACUGGGAAACUUGAGUGCAGAAGAGGACAGUGGAACUCCAUGUGUAGCGGUGAAAUGCGUAGAUAUAUGGAAGAACACCAGUGGCGAAGGCGGCUGUCUGGUCUGUAACUGACGCUGAGGCUCGAAAGUAUGGGUAGCAAACAGGAUUAGAUACCCUGGUAGUCCAUACCGUAAACGAUGAAUGCUAAGUGUUGGAGGGUUUCCGCCCUUCAGUGCUGCAGCUAACGCAUUAAGCAUUCCGCCUGGGGAGUACGGCCGCAAGGCUGAAACUCAAAGGAAUUGACGGGGGCCCGCACAAGCGGUGGAGCAUGUGGUUUAAUUCGAAGCUACGCGAAGAACCUUACCAGGUCUUGACAUACUAUGCAAAUCUAAGAGAUUAGACGUUCCCUUCGGGGACAUGGAUACAGGUGGUGCAUGGUUGUCGUCAGCUCGUGUCGUGAGAUGUUGGGUUAAGUCCCGCAACGAGCGCAACCCUUAUUAUCAGUUGCCAGCAUUAAGUUGGGCACUCUGGUGAGACUGCCGGUGACAAACCGGAGGAAGGUGGGGAUGACGUCAAAUCAUCAUGCCCCUUAUGACCUGGGCUACACACGUGCUACAAUGGAUGGUACAACGAGUUGCGAACUCGCGAGAGUAAGCUAAUCUCUUAAAGCCAUUCUCAGUUCGGAUUGUAGGCUGCAACUCGCCUACAUGAAGUCGGAAUC
rnacentral:rRNA from 2 species